UCUCUUACCAUUUGCAUUAUGUGUACAUAAUUUACUUCAUAAUUGGUCAUUUACAAAACCUAAUUCAGUUCAAUGCUGAGUAAGUCUAUUCAUACUACCCAAUAUCCUCUUCUAUUCUCUUAUACUCAAAAACUUGAAUGCUUUCUCGAUUCUGCGUUAUCCUUCCUUUCAAUACUCGUACGCGUCCCUCAAAAAGCUAUUAUUGCAUGGGAGUCCUGCACUCAACUCUCUCCCGAAUGAAAUUCAACCCUUCUCUGCCCUUGAAGAGCUGAAGAUACAGAACUUUAACGGAAUGGAAGCUUUGCCUAAUUGGUUGGGCAAUCUUUCUUGUCUUCAAAAGCUGUCUCUUUACUACUGCAAAAAGCUGAUGUAUCUUCCCAUUCUACACCUCACCGAUUUAAAACAUCUGCACAUUGCUCGAUGUCCCAAUUUAGAGAAAAGAUGUGUAGAAGAGAGCAGCGCAGAGUGGUUACAGAUGCCCCAUAUUCGAAACAUCAAAAUCAAUGAAAAAUACAUCAAAGGGAAGGAUUCUGAGGACUCUGAAGACUUUGACGACUAUGACGACUCUGAGUAUGAAGAAGUUGAAUAUGAUGACUCUGAGUAUGAAGAAUCUGAUGACUCUGAAGAUGAUAGAGACGAUUACUUGCAAGAAGAUUCCAUCUGGGGAAAUGAUCAAGUUGAUGAUAACUGAUGCUGAGGUUAACCACAUAAGACACGCUGGAACCAUAUUUCAAACAUUUGAAGAUUGAAUCCCCAACCAAUUCCACCAUGCAGAAAGGAGAGAGACUACUGUCUUCGGCAUCACCCACUGAAUCCUAAACAAGGAGAAGACUUCACUUGACAAGAGGAGCUGUGGUAACUUCUCAUCGUCUCAAGAACUGAAAUUCUAGAACAAGAACUGCUACUACUUAUCUGCAAUGAUGGAGGAGCUCCCCUUCUGUGGAAAGCUAGAUGGAAGUAUCCUAGAAUCGUUGUUGAAGCUGGAUGUUUUGUUUCUUACUUGUCGCUUUGCAAGGGAUAUGGAAUCAACAAGAGUGGUCAUUGGUAGAAGAUUGUGCAUAGUCCAAGAAUCACAAUGGAGGGAAUUUAAAAUUGAUUCCAAUGAAAUUGUUUCAUAGAAAUUUCGAAUACUUUUCCAAUGUCAAGGAUGCUUUAUGAUUAUUUGGGGCUGGGGUAACUUUUUAUCUCUUCAAGAACAGAAGUUCAGGAGCAGGAGUGCUACUACUUACCAGUAAAGCAGGUGGCACACUAACUUUCCAUGGAAAGCUAAAUGAAGAACUGAAGCUUGAAUUGGUUCCAAAUUUCCGAUCUAAUUGUUUCAUUGAAAUUUAUGAGUUGGCACAUUCUCUCACUACAAACAGCUUGAUUUUUUUCAACAUAUUUUUAUCCACAGUUACUAAAAAUUGUUGAUAGAAGCUUUAAUUUUCUACAGUUAUGCACAACCGUGGAGGCGUGGAGUAAAUUUGAAGAAAUUAGCAUACAUAUUCCAACAGUUAUGCACAACUGUUUGAGAAAAACCUAAUUCCAUUUUUCCCGUUUGGUAGAUCGAUUUCCUUUGAUUACGGCUGUUCGGAUGGAAAAUUUCUCGAAUUUUGAGGCUUCAAUCUGGAACUUUGGUGAAUGUACAAAAUUCAAGUUGAAGGCUUUAGAAGUUGAUCUUGAAGCUUAAGGAUGAUGGGUGCUUGAGUUCAUCCUUAGUAAAUUGAGAAGCCAUGAAGUUUGCAAAUGAUUGGAAAUCAAGAUUGAAAAAGAAGAGAGACGAUCCUUCAGAGUCUGCCCUUACAGGAGAGUCACUCCCAGUAACCAAAAAUCUUGGUGAUGGAGUAUACUCUGUUUCAACAUGUAAACAAGGUGCAAUUGAAGGAGUUGUUAUUGCAACUAGAGUACAUACCUUAUUUGGAAAGGCAGUUCAUCUUGUGGAAACUACUACAAUCAUUGGACAUUUUCAGCAGAUAAUUUCAGUAUAUUAUUUUGGAUGAAAUCUUCACUUAGAAUCUCAAAGGCUGGAAAAAUGUUUAGAGCUGUAAUAUUUCUAAACAGUUUCAUCUUUUCUACUUGGAGGUCGUAACUAGAAUAGGAAACUUCUGUAUUUGCUCGAUUGCCAAUGGGCUGGUAAUAGAAAUCAUUGUCAUAUAUGGGAUUCAUCAUGGGUAAUCAUGUUGGGAUAGAUAAGCUUCUUGUUUUACUCAUCGGUGGCAUCCCCAUUUCUAUGCCAACAAUUCUUUCUGUUACAAGCUAACUGUGGACAAGUCACAAGAAUAUGAUAGAGGAGAUAAAAGGAGCAACAAAACCAACAUAUAUUUGAAGGCAUAAAUACACUAUGAAAAUGGCUCUACUUGACUGCAUUCAAAGAAGUGGUGACAACACUAAAAGUCCUACCAGCCCCUCUUUGAAGCUUCUCCAAGGUUCAAAGUGGUUGCCUACCUCCUCAUCUCCUACAUUUGCAGAGGAUCUUGACCCAGAAGGAACAAGUUUAUCAUUACAAGAAAUCAGUUCCCACCAAAUUGAAGAAGGCCAAGAAUUUGACAUGCUCUCAGCUUGAAGAAACAUAAUCAGGAUUUUAGCACCACACCUUCUUGGGUUGUUAGGUUUGAUGAUGAUGAAGAUGAAGAAGAUGCUGAAUUCUUUGGAGCCCCAGCAUCUGAAUCAAAGCUGGCUCCUGAGGGGUACAAGGAAACCACUAGACAUAAUCCAAGAGCAAUGCAUAAGAAUUUUGGGAAGCAUGUUUGGAAAGCACUGUCAAUCUUACUAUUAAAAAGAAAAAUAGAUGCCUACAAAUCUUAAAAGGACAUUAACUGAAAAUUUGGCAUCAGCUUUUGCUGCGAUAUCAGAAAUUCAGAGUGCUUUCCACAAACCUAUUUUGUCUCUGUUGCUACUGAAAGAGGAAAGCAAGAUAAUAAGGGUGAGCAAAUAUGGGUAAGGUUGUUUCAGUGAAGGAGUAUCUAAUGCAUAAGCUUGAGCCCAGGCAAGAUGUGCUUUCUCCAGUGAUAUCCAAGGCUAUGAAUCCAAAGAGAACUCCUGGUGAUAUGGAUGUGGUAUGAGAGACGCUGCGACUUUGCUCCAACAUGAGGAAUUGUCCAAAUACACAGCUAUGGGUUCAAUUAGAAAUACAAGAUCGCCCAUGCCAAUUUCCACCCAUGUGCAUUCAGCUAAAGACUCACCAUCACACACUCAGAUCUCAGCCAAUGCUCAUAAAAAAAAAUUUGUGUCAAUUUUGAUCCUAAAUGUAUAUGGAGACGUGUUAAUGAGCUUCAAUUAGUGUUUGACUUCAUGUAUCGAUACUAAAAACCAUCACCAUCUGACAUGCAUGAUCUGAUACUAAUUAUUCUAUUGAAGUUCCUUUGUACAGUCUAUGGCAACCAUGGGUCAAAUUUAUAUCGAUAUUUAGUUAUCUGAACAAGGCCCUGACCAUGUUAUGGAUUCCGUGUGCUAUGGUGUAAUUUCUCUUUUUGGUAUUAUAAUUCAUAUCUCAUGGAUA